rnacentral:lncRNA from 1 species
GGGCGGGGAAGUCAUGGCCCAAGUGAAAUAUGGUGGCAGCCACGCCAGGAUACCAGUAAAACAAAUAGGUAAAAUUAGAAUAUUAUAAAGAGAAAACCAGCUAGACUGGCAAGAGGAAAAUUAUAAAAGAUGACUCCCAAUUUCCUGAUUUCAGUAUAUGUUUGAUACAUAUGACUAGGUAUCAAAGCAAGGAAAACUAAAGAAAAUGGGAGAUUCAGACAACAAAUUCCAAGAAUUCUGUUUGGGAAGGAAGUACCGAUUUUUAUGGAUCUAUACCUCAGUAUAAAAAUCUGGGCCAGACAUAAAUUUGUGAACCACUUGGAGGACUAAAGGAAACCACCAGUUUUCUGCUCAAGAAGAGACAAGAAUUUGCUGAUUGGAGAGAAGACACAGAAGAUGUGAGAAGGUCCCGGAGGAUGGAGCUCCUCUAUAAAAAAAGCCCUAUUCAAUGUACAAAGAAGACGCAGCACAGGGC